UUUUCGGAGAGUUUGAUCCUGGCUCAGGACGAACGCUGGCGGCGUGCCUAAUACAUGCAAGUCGAGCGGACAGAAGGGAGCUUGCUCCCGGAUGUUAGCGGCGGACGGGUGAGUAACACGUGGGUA
rnacentral:rRNA from 1 species